UUCCAAGAUCAUUGGUGUUAGAUGUGUUAGAGGUUCUUGGAGGGUUGCUUUAACGAUGCUAACACUUUUAUUUACAUUUGUUGUUAGGGCUAUAAUAUAGAGCACCCCAUACAUAGCCAAAAAUGCAUAUAUCAAGUCUAAACAUCCGUGUGGGUUAUUUUAUUUAAAGAAUGUAAAGACACCCAGACAGGAACAUGAGAAGAAAC